rnacentral:lncRNA from 1 species
AUCCAAGUUGCCGUCCGAGUGUCUCUUACGGACUUGCUCUGGUUUUUAGGUGUAUGCCUGACGUCAGGCUGGCCGAAAAACAAUCUUCGUACUCGAUGAAAUCCGAUCUUGAGUGUCUUCGAUUAGUGUCGAGAAUACAAUUGGCUGAGGCUGAGGUGAAGAUCCCCAAUGCAUAUCAAUACAUGAUAUGCAUCUACUUGUAAGGGAAUUUAAAAAAAUAUAUAUUUUUGUGGUCUCAAAAAGGAAAAUUUGAUCGGAAAUUUACUCAAACUAAUAUUCUAUCAUCUAGACUUAAUUCUACUGGAUUGAUAUCAGGUUUUGGAUUUAGUUGUCAACAGAAAUGGAGGAAUGCAUGUGUAAUAUCUAAGAAUGAUGUCACGCUGUUACACUCAAUAUUGGGCCAUAGUUACUUUUCAAAAGC